CUUUUAUGAAAUUAUCAAAAUUUCAUAAAAGCAAUAUCCCCUAAUUUGAAAUUAAACAACAAUCACAAAAAGAAGUAGUGGCAGUAGAUUGGGCGAGCAGAUGUAAAAAUGAUGAAGAACCAAUAAAAACCCAAAUCAAUACAUCAAAUACCCAAUAAAUUACAAAAGGGAAACCCCAAAUCAACACAGUAAAUCAAUAACCCAUUACCCAACUAGCACCAAGCUUCAAUACUCAAUAAGACAAAGAAGCAAGAUACAAGGAGAUCGUGAGAUGCAUGAGGUGAGAACCAAGAGGGAGAAAUGGAGGAUAGAAAUUCCAGGGAGAAGAAGACCGAUAAACAAUCUUUGGCAAACAGUAGAAUCGAUGGGUAAAUAGGCGAAAUAAACAAGACUGUGAGAGAAGAAACCUGAACCUGCGACAAAAACAAGAACUAAAAUUCUGCGUGGAAGCUUAAAUCCAAAAGGGAGAGGAGUAGCAAACAAAGGUGAGGAGCGAAUAAGGCAAGGAGGCGAGAAACGACAGCGAAAUGGUUAGAAGAGAGGCAGCAACGAGAGGUUGGUUUUGGAAGAGUAGAUUAGUGGAAUCGAGAUUAAGGGCCCGUUUGAUGCGGAGGCACCCCAGCCAUAAAGCUGAUUUUUCUAAAAAAGCAGGUUCACAAUGUGUU
rnacentral:misc_RNA from 1 species